rnacentral:lncRNA from 1 species
GGGAGGGGCCGCCCGGCUGUCGGAACCGGCCAGCGGGUAGGAGGGAACGAUCUGCUUCAGGGGGAGAAGGCAAGGCCUCGACUCUCCCUGAGCACUGAGCGGCCUGGCGUUUGCCACACGCAGGAGGCAGGAGGGGCACGCAGGACUGUGAGCCUGGGUGUGGCUGGCUCCUGUGUCUGGGUGUCCCCCUCGAGCCUCAUCCUUAAUCCACAACACCUGCCCCCCCUCCCCCCCCCCCCCCCCCCCCGCAAGACCUCAGGACCCCAGCUCAGCUGGUGGAUUUUCUGCCGGUGUCAGACCACCAGCCAUCCCUGCCCUCACCCGGUCUGCCUCCCCUUCAGCCUCAGCAGCAGCUCCCGCCUGUUCCGCACACUCAGAAUCAUGAAUCCAGUUUGGGGUUCAACCCAGGAUGUGACACUCCCCCCCCAAAAAAAUCCCAUAUGUGUGUGUGAUGGGAAGGCCCCUCUAGGGCCUUCCAGGGCUUCUCAUCCCACCAAGUCUGAGGAGCCCCAGGAAGCCCCAAAACCUGCAGCAAGUGCCCCGUGUCUCCCCUCCUCCCCGCGUCCCGGCCCGCGACAGCCACAUCACUCCAGCGGCCUCUGCAGUGCUGCAGCGCGCGCUCCUCCUCGCCGGCCGGAGCCUCUCUUUAGAACGCGGCAGCUCCAGUCACGGACCCUGGUCUGCAGGAAAGCUGACUCAGGGAUUUCUAGGCUGCAAGCCGAGUGCGGGAGUGUGCGCCACCGUGUAGCGGGGAGGGUGUCGGGAAGGGGCGGUUUGUGCGUGUUUGCAUGUGGGCUAGACUCUCCCGUGAGCUCUGCGGACCCCUCACCGUUCUUAGAUGGAAAGGGGGCCUGAGGGUGAAGGGCUCAAGGUCAGAUGCUCAGCGGGAGGGCACGGGCUCUUCCCCCAACCCCUGCACACCCCACCCCCUGCGCUGGCCUCCCACACUGAGGGGGCCUGUCAUCUGGCUGCUGCUCUGCGCUUUCUGCCUGGGGGAAGAAACACUUCGAAAUCCCCCCAAAGCUUCUUUUGCCAGGAGGAGGGGGAAAGGGGCUGAAAGUCCAGCAGGCUGGAUUCAGGCUAGACUUUGGGAUGUCCUGAUGCCAAGGGCCCGGGACGCCAUCCUGCCUGCCAAGGAAAGUGCCUGCCUUAAUGACCGGAAUGCGGAGCCGGAGCCGCCUGGAGGAAGGGGGUCGGGUGAAAUGACCCCCGUGGCUCCUGGGUAAAAAGGAUCAGAAUGUACCUGCGCCUGAGGCAAAGCUGCCUCCAGGAAAAUGGGGUCUAAUUACAGAGAAUAAAGCCUUUACGUAAGA